AACGCACCUUGCACCUCUCAGUUUUACUGAGGGGUACACCUGUUUGAGUGUCGUGAAUUUCUCCACCUCCCUUGGGCUUUUUUUUUUCUGUCAAAGGUGAAGGAUGGGAUUUGGGAGUUUUUGCAGGUUCCCUUUACAAAGGGGCUUCUGCUCUCCUUAAAUGCAUUAGUAGAUGCUUCUUUCAUUUUGACUAUCGGUGUUGAUAAUUGUCUAUGCCUCGGGUCUUUGAAGGGAGAUGUGAUCUGCUUCAAAUCUUAUUCAAAGCUAUAUUCGGCUUUGAUCAUCUGAAACUUGACCUCAAAUCAGGUGGGACUACCCGCUGAACUUAA
rnacentral:misc_RNA from 1 species